GUUUGCGUUGGCAGCACAUAUACUAAAAUUGGAAUGAUACAGAGAAGAUUAGCAAAGAUGACAUGCAAAUUCAUGAAGCAUUUCAUAUUAAA
ensembl:snRNA U6 U6 spliceosomal RNA